CGGUCCAGACUCCUACGGGAGGCAGCAGUAGGGAAUCUUCCGCAAUGGACGAAAGUCUGACGGAGCAACGCCGCGUGAGUGAUGAAGGUUUUCGGAUCGUAAAACUCUGUUAUUAGGGAAGAACAAAUGUGUAAGUAACUGUGCACAUCUUGACGGUACCUAAUCAGAAAGCCACGGCUAACUACGUGCCAGCAGCCGCGGUAA
rnacentral:rRNA from 2 species